rnacentral:rRNA from 1 species
UUCCUACGGGAGGCUGCAGUGGGGAAUUUUGGACAAUGGGCGAAAGCCUGAUCCAGCCAUGCCGCGUGAGUGAAGAAGGCCUUCGGGUUGUAAAGCUCUUUCGGUCGAGAAGAAAUGUCUAUGACUAAUACUUAUAGAAAAUGACGGUAUCGACAUAAGAAGCCCCGGCUAACUACGUGCCAGACGCCGCGGUAAUACGUAGGGUGCAAGCGUUAAUCGGAAUUAUUGGGCGUAAAGGGUGCGCAGGCUGUGUUGUAAGUCAGAUGUGAAAUCCCCGGGCUUAACCUGGGAAUUGCGUUUGAAACUGCAAUGCUAGAGUGUGAUAGAGGAGAGUGGAAUUCCAUGUGUAGCAGUGAAAUGCGUAGAGAUGUGGAAGAACACCAAUGGCGAAGGCAGCUCUCUGGAUUAACACUGACGCUCAUGCACGAAAGCGUGGGGAGCAAACAGGAUUAGAUACCCCAGUAGUCC